GCGGGCGUGGCGGAACUGGCAGACGCGCUGGAUUUAGGUUCCAGUGCCGCAAGGCGUGGAGGUUCGACUCCUCUCGUCCGCA
rnacentral:tRNA from 1 species